UUUUAAAUCAUUUCAUUUGCAUGUCAAAAUGAAAUUAUGUAAUGAUGCUUCUAUUUUCAACUGGAAAAAUUUCAUAGCAAAAAAUCAAAUAUGUAGCAAUACAGCAAAUGUUACAAAAACGAUAAAAGAGAAAUAUAAAAGUAGUAUACAAUUUGCAAUGUUUACAACUAAAGUCGUUUUUUUUUUCUUUUUAUUCUAUUUAUUAUUACAAAAUGAAUAUAACUAUUGGAAUGAUCGUAUACCAAUUAUUAAAAAAAUAAAAAAUUAUACAACAUACGCAAGACAACUAGCAGCAUAUAAUGUAAAUGAAAAAAGGUAUAACAAUAAUAUACAAGUAGGUAUGAACAAAAAUAAUGAUAUGUAUAAAUUGCGUAAAGGUUUGAGUGGUAUUAUGAAAGUACCUGACAUGGGGAGCACAGACAGUGUGUAUGAUAGAGUAUUUAAUGCUUAUAGUUCUAAUACAUAUACUAAUACAAAUGAAGGUACACCUCCUAAAUAUAAUAAUCAAAAUAAAAAACAAAUUGAUGCAAGUAAAAGAUGUACUUCUUUAAAUAUGCAACAUAAAGGUGAAACUUUCCAAACAAAAAAUACACCUAACAAUGGUAGAAGGUAUGAAAAUAAAACUAAUAAGGCUGAGCACGUAUUGGGUAAUGAUAAAAAGAAUGAUCAGCAUCUAACACAAUCCCAUCACCAGACGUUGCAAGAAAAAGAAAAAUAUGAUAAAAAUAUAGCGGAUAACAAACUGGAAGACUAUGAAAGUGUUUUUAAAAAAUUUGCAACAAAUACAGAAAAAGCAAAUGAAAAAAAAACAACUGCUAUCGCAAAAACAGAAAACACUUUGUCAUUAAAUGAAUGUGACAAAUCAUAUGAAACAUUUUUUAAAGCUUGUACUAAAAAGAAAAAAAUGGAAGAUAAUACGAUACCACCAACUCCUGAGACAUCAUCCAACAGUUCUGUAAGCCAAAAAGAACAAGCUAAAAAAAACAAAAUAACAAAACAAGUAUCUGAAAGCAAGAAAAAUGAUUAUGUUCCUGAAAGUUUUGAAUUUUAUGCAAAUAGUAUGGAUGUGUCAUUUAUAAAUAUCACACACGAACUAAAAAAUAUAUUAGAAAAGCAUCCUAGAGACUUUGAUACUUUAAAAUUGCUUGUGUUAUAUAAUAUGGAGAUUAGUGUUAUGAGAUACAAUUUUCUGAAUUUACAAAACAAUUUAUAUAAAAUUUGGAUUAGUUUAACAAACCAAUAUCAACUGGACAAUUAUUAUGCAAAUAAAUGUUGGUCAAAGAUUUAUACCAGAAUGAUAAAAGAUCUAUUUUAUAAGGAAAAAAAGUAUCUGCAUAAAUUACAUUGCACCCUUCAAAAUGGAAAUUGUUCAAAUCAUGUAUUGAAACGAGUUCUUUUAAUAUUCGAUGAAAAAUAUAGAAUGCUUUUAAAUAACCUGUUCGAAGAUUAUAAACAAAAUUUAUAUAGAAAAGCAAGGAAUUAUUAGAAGUGUGCCUACUGGCUAUUUACAACAGUUUUCAAAAAGUGCGCAGCGUAAAAAAGUGUGAUAUUUUUUAUGGAUACGUAUAUGGAUUGUUUUUAAUUAUUUUAUUUUAAGUAUGUGUGUCUAGAUGAACGGAAAAAAAAGAAAAACGGACGAACAAAAAGAUGAACGAACUAAUUAUAAAAUUAAAUAAAUCUGUAAUUUUAUAUAUUGUUAAUUUGUGU
rnacentral:lncRNA from 1 species